rnacentral:rRNA from 1 species
GAUGAACGCUGGCGGCGUGCCUAACACAUGCAAGUCGAACGGAGUCCAGCCUUUAAGACCUUCGGGUCAAAGAGGGGAAGACUGAGUGGCGGACGGGUGAGUAACACGUGGGCAACCUGGCUCAUAGAGGGGGAUAACAGAGAGAAAUUUCUGCUAAUACCGCAUAAGCACACACUGCCGCAUGGCAGAGGGUGAAAAGAGAAUCGCUAUGAGAUGGACCCGCGUCUGAUUAGCCAGUUGGCAGGGUAAGAGCCUACCAAAGCGACGAUCAGUAGCCGAUCUGAGAGGAUGAACGGCCACAUUGGGACUGAGACACGGCCCAAACUCCUACGGGAGGCAGCAGUGGGGGAUAUUGCACAAUGGGGGGAACCCUGAUGCAGCGACGCCGCGUGAGUGAAGAAGUAUUUCGGGAUGUAAAGCUCUAUCAGCAGGGAAGAUAAUGACAGUACCUGAAUAAGAAGCCCCGGCUAACUACGUG